GACGAACGCUGGCGGCGUGCCUAAUACAUGCAAGUUGAGCGAGACUCUUCGGAGUCUAGCGGCGGACGGGUGAGUAACACGUGGGCAACCUGCCUGUAAGACUGGGAUAACACCGGGAAACCGGUGCUAAUACCGGAUAAUCCUUUUCCUCUCAUGAGGAAAAACUGAAAGUCGGUUUCGGCUGACACUUACAGAUGGGCCCGCGGCGCAUUAGCUAGUUGGUGAGGUAACGGCUCACCAAGGCGACGAUGCGUAGCCGACCUGAGAGGGUGAUCGGCCACACGGGGACUGAGACAAGGCCCAGACUCCUACGGGAGGCAGCAGUAGGGAAUCUUCCACAAUGGACGAAAGUCUGAUGAAGCAACGCCGCGUGAGCGAUGAAGGCCUUCGGGUCGUAAAGCUCUGUUGUUAGGGAAGAACAAGUACCGGAGUAACUGCCGGUACCUUGACGGUACCUAACCAGAAAGCCACGGCUAACUACGUGCCAGCCGCCGCAGUAA
rnacentral:rRNA from 1 species